UACGGAGGGAGCUAGCGUUGUUCGGAUAUACUGGGCGUAAAGCGCACGUAGGCGGCGCAGCAAGUCAGGGGUGAAAUCCCGGAGCUCAACUCCGGAACUGCCUUUGAAACUGCAGUGCUAGAAUCCUGGAGAGGCGAGUGGAAUUCCGAGUGUAGAGGUGAAAUUCGUAGAUAUUCGGAAGAACACCCGUGGCGAAGGCGGCUCUCUGGAACGCAACUGACGCUGAGACGCGAAAGCGUGGGGAGCAAACAGG
rnacentral:rRNA from 1 species